rnacentral:snoRNA from 1 species
GUUUAUAUUUCAUUGGUUUUUUUCUUUAUGUCGAAAGAAAUUUCUGGUGUGCUAAAUAAUCCUUUGGAAGUAAAUUAGCAUCAUGACUAAUUUAGCCAAUGAUGUCAGUUACUGUCAGACAAGU